AACGCGAAGAACCUUACCAAGUCUUGACAUCCCCCUGACCGGAACUUAACCGUUCCUUUCCUACGGGACAGGGGAGACAGGUGGUGCAUGGUUGUCGUCAGCUCGUGUCGUGAGAUGUUGGGUUAAGUCCCGCAACGAGCGCAACCCUUAUCCUUAGUAGCCAGCAGUUCGGCUGGGCACUCUAGGGAGACUGCCAGGGAUAACCUGGAGGAAGGUGGGGAUGACGUCAAAUCAUCAUGCCCCUUAUGAUUUGGGCUACACACGUGCUACAAUGGCGUAAACAAAGGGAAGCGACCCCGCGAGGGUAAGCAAAUCUCAAAAAUAACGUCUCAGUUCGGAUUGCAGGCUGCAACUCGCCUGCAUGAAGCUGGAAUCGCUAGUAAUCGCGAAUCAGAAUGUCGCGGUGAAUACGUUCCCGGGUCUUGUACACACCG
rnacentral:rRNA from 1 species